AACAGGAUUAGAUACCCUGGUAGUCCACGCCGUAAACGUUGGGCGCUAGAUGUAGGGACCUUUCCACGGUUUCUGUGUCGUAGCUAACGCAUUAAGCGCCCCGCCUGGGGAGUACGGCCGCAAGGCUAAAACUCAAAGGAAUUGACGGGGGCCCGCACAAGCGGCGGAGCAUGCGGAUUAAUUCGAUGCAACGCGAAGAACCUUACCAAGGCUUGACAUACACCGGAAACGGCCAGAGAUGGUCGCCCCCUUGUGGUCGGUGUACAGGUGGUGCAUGGUUGUCGUCAGCUCGUGUCGUGAGAUGUUGGGUUAAGUCCCGCAACGAGCGCAACCCUCGUUCUAUGUUGCCAGCGCGUUAUGGCGGGGACUCAUAGGAGACUGCCGGGGUCAACUCGGAGGAAGGUGGGGAUGACGUCAAAUCAUCAUGCCCCUUAUGUCUUGGGCUUCACGCAUGCUACAAUGGCCGGUACAAAGGGCUGCGAUACCGUAAGGUGGAGCGAAUCCCAAAAAGCCGGUCUCAGUUCGGAUUGAGGUCUGCAACUCGACCUCAUGAAGUCGGAGUCGCUAGUAAUCGCAGAUCAGCAACGCUGCGGUGAAUACGUUCCCGGGCCUUGUACACACCGCCCGUCAAGUCAUGAAAGUCGGUAACACCCGAAGCCCGGUGGCCUAACCCUUGUGGAAGGAGCCGUCGAAGGUGGGAUCGGGUGAUUAGGACUAAGUCGUAACAA
rnacentral:rRNA from 1 species